rnacentral:misc_RNA from 1 species
CACGUGCUUUUGAAUUUUGCCUCCUCGAGUCUUCUUACUGAAGGUUUUACUGUGUAACAUGUCGAGCAGAAAAGGAUUGGUGCAGCUAUAUAAUUGUCUUCUUCUUCUUCUUCUUCUUCUUCUUCCUCUCUUGUAGCUAGGCGAAGCCCAAUUCUGUAGUGCAAUACUAGUGCGAGCUCCUGGGUUCUCUGCAGCUGAAAGGGCUGUAAACCAGUGCAAGGGUUUCACUUCUAAUAUAGCAC